UUACUAUUGGCCGCAUGAGAGUAAUGGAACAGUUUCGGUUGUCUUCUUGUUGAAGAAUUGAUGCGAUAGUUUUAUAAAAGUCGUAUAAAAUUGAUUAUAGAAAAUUAUUGAAAAAUCAUGAAAUCUGCAUACCAUUAUCACAUAUUCCAUAGAAACUUUAAGCAGUUGUAUCAUAUAUUUUCAAGAUAUGCUAGCUCACAGACAUCUCUCUAUGAUGUUAUUGUUGUUGGUGGAGGACAUGCUGGGACUGAAGCUGCUGCUGCAGCAGCUAGAAUGGGUUGCAGCACUCUUCUUCUAACUCAUAAAUUGAAUACUAUUGGUGAAAUGUCUUGCAAUCCAUCAUUUGGAGGGAUUGGAAAAGGCCAUUUAAUGAAAGAAAUUGAUGCACUUGAUGGUGUAUGUUGUCGCAUUUGUGAUAUAAGUGGUAUUCAUUAUAGAGUACUUAAUAAAGCCAAGGGUCCAGCUGUUUGGGGUCCAAGGGCUCAGAUUGAUCGUUCAUUAUAUAAAAAAUAUCUGCAGAAAGAAUUGUUUAGUACACCUAAUUUAAAGAUUGUAAGUGGAUCUGUAGAAGAUUUAAUUUUAAAAUCAGAAGCAGAAAAUGAUAAAUGUUUCCCUGCUGUUCAUGGAAUAAAAUUAAGUAAUGGAAAUUUAGUUUAUGGAAAAACUGUUGUAAUUACUACUGGCACAUUUUUGCGUGGAACCAUCAAUAUAGGAUUGGAAAGUCGUCCAGCUGGCCGCAUGGAUGACGAGCCAUCUAUUGGAUUAGCUGUGACUCUUGAAAGAGCAGGCUUUAAAUUAGGAAGAUUGAAAACAGGUACUCCUCCAAGAUUAAAAGCUUCCUCAGUAGAAUAUUCAGAGGUUGAGCCAACGUCACCUGAUAACCCUCCUGUUCCAUUUUCAUUCUUGAAUUCCAGAGUCUGGAUAGAGCCUGAAAAUCAAGUUCUUACCUAUUUAACAUUUACUACACCAGAGGUUGCAAAGUUAAUUAAAGAGAACCAACAUCUUAAUCGCCAUGUAAUGGAAGAAACUCAAGGUCCAAGAUAUUGCCCUUCCAUUGAAUCUAAAGUUUUAAAAUUUGGGGAUCUUUCUCAUCAAAUAUGGCUUGAACCUGAAGGCUUGGAUUCAGACCUUAUUUAUCCACAAGGACUAUCAUGCACACUUCCAGAGGAUCUUCAACUUAAAAUGUUGAAAUUUAUUCCAGGAUUACACAAUGUGAUAAUGACGAGGCCAGGUUAUGGUGUUGAGUAUGAUUUCAUUGAUCCUCGACAGCUGAAACCUUCACUGGAAACUUUAAAAAUAAAAAAUCUGUUUCUUGCUGGACAAAUAAAUGGUACCACUGGCUAUGAAGAAGCAGCUGCCCAGGGCAUUAUUGCUGGAAUCAAUGCUGCAUGCAGUGUUCAAGGCAAAGAUCCUUUUAUAAUCAGUCGUACUGAAGGUUACAUUGGAGUUUUAGUUGAUGAUCUCACCACACUGGGAGUUUCUGAACCAUAUCGUAUGUUUACCAGUAGAGCUGAAUUCAGAGUAUAUUUAAGGCCAGAUAAUGCUGACACACGUUUAACUGAAAAGGGUUUCAAAGUUGGCUGCGUUUCAGAAGAUCGUUAUGCAAAGUAUGUUCAGUUUAGUAAUUACUUGAUGGAUUCUAUAGAUGCUCUGAAACAAGUUAUGAAAAGUGGAAAAGAAUGGGAGAUUGUUACAAAAUGUCCCAUUAAAAAAAGCGCCUUUAAUGUAUUGACCAUACCAGGAUUCAAUUCUGAAAAGAUUUUACAAUAUUUACCUACAAAUGUCAAAAAAUCGGAGGAAUUUCCUCAAGUCCUGUCACGUUUAUAUAUAGAAGCAUUGUACCAACAUUCUGUAGAGCAGCAACUAGAAGAAAUAAGAAAACUGAAAGAAGAUGAGGAACUUCAACUUCCAGAAGAUAUUGAGCAUGUAGUAAAGCUGGCAUUAAAAUUUUGAUGGUCUUUGGUUUCCAAACUUCUUUGAAUCUGGAAUAUCUAUUUUUGGAAUUAUGUUUAUCUGAGAACGAAGCUUAAAAUCACAUUGAGCUAGAGGAAAGAAAUUUGGAAUAAUAUUCAGCUUUCUAUGGAGAUAAAAGAAAAACUUCUUGAAGCUCGUCCUUCAACAUUGGGUGCUGCUAAAUUGAUUCCUGGCAUCACGCCUUCUGCUCUUACCGCACUUUUGUAUUUUGUUCGAAAACAAAAGGCUUCAUAUGAUGUGUGAUGAUUUCUAUUGUAAUAUAUUUUAAUAAAUUAUUUUUUAUAUAA